CUUAGUUCCACCAUCAGUUGGAUACGGAAUAAGGCAGACGAUCUUGUCGCACCGUUGGAAAGGAUGCAGGGAAGGCAAUGGAACCAGACAGCAUCUCAGGGAGUGUUGUGAAGUUCUGCAUGCUGGAGGGACACUUUCACACAAGCACCUACUGGAAAUAGAGGCUGCCUGGGAUCCAGCGAGGUUUUAUUUCAACACGUGCGGCGUUUCGACAGGGUUGUUGGGGCAGCACCAUCAGCACGGCAGUUGCUUCAGUGAAAUCAGACCACCGGAGCUCCGGUGGAAUUUGCGCAUUCUCGCGGCUUCCCAGUUCUUCGCACAGCCCACAAACUUGCAGGUUGGUUCAGUGCUGUACAUCUUAGGAUCAGUAAGAUGUGGGCAUGUUACAAUGGUGCUGAGAGCACGGCCACACUUGCAAGCUGCCUCGGUCUGUGCUGGUGUAUGCGGUAAAGGGCGCAUUUCACUGCAUGCUUCGCGGUACCUGUGAAACCAAUCUCUCAGCUGAAGGUCUACUAAUUGAUGAUCCAGAAACAAAUUCACAAUUAGUCACCAGGCGAGAUUUGGAGGAAAACAGAUGUCCCAUGCACUUUUCUGAGAUUAAGACAUCAAGGCGAUUGCGGAAGGCGAGCAAGAGUUCAUUGCUGAGCGCCUGCCUUUUGCCAGAGAAGGAGCCUGUGAGCAGCCUAUCACCGUGUAGGCAGGAGUGCCCCCUGCUUCCUGUGUUGUCCCUCUCUUUUGAUGAAUGUUAAUAAUAUUGUAGCAUAACAUCGUGGUUCUGCAUUUAUGGAUUCGACUAUUGUGUUUGUGGAUAUGGACUUAUUCAGAAUUAUGGUUUUUACAUUCUGUGUUUGUUAAUCAUCUGCUCCUUUUCUGUUUUGUUGUACGAGGGGGGCUGAUGAUCUGUUAGUGUUCUGUAUUUUUUGUGCGGGGGAGGAGGGUUUCUUUCCUGGGGUCGAUGAUCCUGUUCCAUUUAGUGCGGGGAAAGGGGGUUUGAUGAAUCAGGAUGCCAUUUUUUUUU